AACGUACGCUGGGCGGCACGCCUAACACAUGCAAGUCGAACGAAGUAGCAAUACUUAGUGGCAGACGGGUGAGUAACAUGUAGGUAUCUGCCCUUUGGCCUGGAAUAACACGAGGAAACUUGUGCUAAUACCGGAUAAGUCUUUACGGAGAAAGCUUUAUGCACCAUUGGAUGAGCCUGCACUUGAUUAGUUUGUUGGUGGGGUAAUGGCCUACCAAGACUGUGAUCAAUAGCUGAUUUGAGAGGAUGAUCAGCCACAUUGGGACUGAGACACGGCCCAAACUCCUACGGGAGGCAGCAGUGGGGAAUCUUGCACAAUGGAGGAAACUCUGAUGCAGCGAUGCCGCGUGAGUGAAGAAGGCCUUUGGGUUGUAAAGCUCUUUCGUCGGGGAAGAAAAUGACUGUACCCGAAUAAGAAGGUCCGGCUAACUUCGUGCCAGCAGCCGCGGUAAUACGAAGGGACCUAGCGUAGUUCGGAAUUACUGGGCUUAAAGAGUUCGUAGGUGGUUGAAAAAGUUAGUGGUGAAAUCCCAGAGCUUAACUCUGGAACUGCCAUUAAAACUUUUCAGCUAGAGUAUGAUAGAGGAAAGCAGAAUUUCUAGUGUAGAGGUGAAAUUCGUAGAUAUUAGAAAGAAUACCAAUUGCGAAGGCAGCUUUCUGGAUCAUUACUGACACUGAGGAACGAAAGCAUGGGUAGCGAAGAGGAUUAGAUACCCUCGUAGUCCAUGCCGUAAACGAUGUGUGUUAGACGUUGGAAAUUUAUUUUCAGUGUCGCAGGGAAACCGAUAAACACACCGCCUGGGGAGUACGACCGCAAGGUUAAAACUCAAAUGAAUUGACGGGGACCCGCACAAGUAGUGGAGCAUGUGGUUUAAUUCGAAGAUACGCGCAGAACCUUACCAACACUUGACAUGUUCGUCGCGACUUUAAGAGAUUAGAGUUUUCGGUUCGGCCGGACGAAACACAGGUGCUGCAUGGCUGUCGUCAGCUCGUGUCGUGAGAUGUUGGGUUAAGUCCCGCAACGAGCGCAACCCUCACUUUUAGUUGCCAUCAUUAAGUUGGGCACUCUGAAAGAACUGCCAGUGAUAAGCUGGAGGAAGGUGGGGAUGACGUCAAGUCCUCAUGGCCCUUACGUGUUGGGCUACACACGUGCUACAAUGGUAUCUACAACAGGAAGCAAGACUGCGAAGUUAAGCAAAUCCCUAAAAGAUACCUCAGUUCGGAUUGCACUCUGCAACUCGAGUGCAUGAAGCUGGAAUUACUAGUAAUCGUGGAUCAGCGUGCCACGGUGAAUGCGUUCCCGGGUCU
rnacentral:rRNA from 1 species